GAUGAACGCUAGCUACAGGCUUAACACAUGCAAGUCGAGGGGUAACGAGAGGAAAGCUUGCUUUCCUUGUCGACGACCGGCGCACGGGUGAGUAACGCGUAUCCAACCUGCCCCCAACUAGGGAAUAACCUUGCGAAAGUAAGACUAAUACCCUAUAAUUUCCUCAGAUGUCAUCUGACGAGGAAUAAGAUUUAUCGGUUGUGGAUGGGGAUGCGUCUGAUUAGCUUGUUGGCGGGGUAACGGCCCACCAAGGCAACGAUCAGUAGGGGUUCUGAGAGGAAGGUCCCCCACAUUGGAACUGAGACACGGUCCAAACUCCUACGGGAGGCAGCAGUGAGGAAUAUUGGUCAAUGGGCGGAAGCCUGAACCAGCCAAGUAGCGUGCAGGAUGACGGCCCUAUGGGUUGUAAACUGCUUUUAUACGGGAAUAAAGUUAGCCACGUGUGGUUAUUUGUAGGUACUGUAUGAAUAAGGACCGGCUAAUUCCGUGCCAGCCGCCGCAGUAA
rnacentral:rRNA from 1 species